rnacentral:rRNA from 1 species
AGGAUGAACGCUGGCGGCGUGCCUAAUACAUGCAAGUCGAGCGGUAAGGCCCCUUCGGGGGUACACGAGCGGCGGACGGCUGAGUAACACGUAGGAACGUACCCCAAAGUGAGGGAUAAGCACCAGAAAUGGUGUCUAAUACCGCAUGUGCUCUUCGGAGGAAGGCUUCGGCGCUUUGGGAACGGCCUGCGCAUGAUUAGCUUGUUGGUGAGGUAAUGGCUCACCAAGGCGACGAUCAUUAGCUGGUCUGAGAGGAUGAUCAGCCAGACUGGGACUGAGAACGGCCCAGACUCCUACGGGAGGCAGCAGUAGGGAAUUUUCCACAAUGGGCGAAAGCCUGAUGGAGCAACGCCGCGUGCAGGAUGAAUGCCUUCGGGUUGUAAACUGCUUUUAUAUGUGACGAAUAUGACGGUAGCAUAUGAAUAAGGAUCGGCUAACUCCGUGCCAGCAGCCGC